rnacentral:rRNA from 1 species
UACGGGGGGGGCAAGCGUUGUUCGGAAUUACUGGGCGUAAAGGGCGCGUAGGCGGUUCGCUAAGUUGGAUGUGAAAACUCUGGGCUUAACCCAGAGCCUGCAUCCAAAACUGGCAAACUUGAGUACUGGAGGGGAAAGCGGAAUUCCUGGUGGUAGCGGUGAAAUGCGUAGAUAUCAGGAGGAACACCGGUGGCGAAGGCGGCUUUCUGGACAGUAACUGACGCUGAUGCG